AGCCCAGAGCCUGAAUCAGUGUGUGUGUUAGUGGAAGCGUCUGGAAAGGCGCGCGAUACAGGGUGACAGCCCCGUACACAAAAAUGCACAUAUUGUGAGCUCGAUGAGUAGGGCGGGACACGUGGUAUCCUGUCUGAAUAUGGGGGGACCAUCCUCCAAGGCUAAAUACUCCUGACUGACCGAUAGUGAACCAGUACCGUGAGGGAAAGGCGAAAAGAACCCCGGCGAGGGGAGUGAAAAAGAACCUGAAACCGUGUACGUACAAGCAGUGGGAGCCUCUUUAUGGGGUGACUGCGUACCUUUUGUAUAAUGGGUCAGCGACUUAUAUUCUGUAGCAAGGUUAACCGAAUAGGGGAGCCGAAGGGAAACCGAGUCUUAACUGGGCGUUAAGUUGCAGGGUAUAGACCCGAAACCCGGUGAUCUAGCCAUGGGCAGGUUGAAGGUUGGGUAACACUAACUGGAGGACCGAACCGACUAAUGUUGAAAAAUUAGCGGAUGACUUGUGGCUGGGGGUGAAAGGCCAAUCAAACCGGGAGAUAGCUGGUUCUCCCCGAAAGCUAUUUAGGUAGCGCCUCGUGAAUUCAUCUCCGGGGGUAGAGCACUGUUUCGGCAAGGGGGUCAUCCCGACUUACCAACCCGAUGCAAACUGCGAAUACCGGAGAAUGUUAUCACGGGAGACACACGGCGGGUGCUAACGUCCGUCGUGAAGAGGGAAACAACCCAGACCGCCAGCUAAGGUCCCAAAGUCAUGGUUAAGUGGGAAACGAUGUGGGAAGGCCCAGACAGCCAGGAUGUUGGCUUAGAAGCAGCCAUCAUUUAAAGAAAGCGUAAUAGCUCACUGGUCGAGUCGGCCUGCGCGGAAGAUGUAACGGGGCUAAACCAUGCACCGAAGCUGCGGCAGCGACACUAUGUGUUGUUGGGUAGGGGAGCGUUCUGUAAGCCUGUGAAGGUGGCCUGUGAGGGUUGCUGGAGGUAUCAGAAGUGCGAAUGCUGACAUAAGUAACGAUAAAGCGGGUGAAAAGCCCGCUCGCCGGAAGACCAAGGGUUCCUGUCCAACGUUAAUCGGGGCAGGGUGAGUCGACCCCUAAGGCGAGGCCGAAAGGCGUAGUCGAUGGGAAACAGGUUAAUAUUCCUGUACUUGGUGUUACUGCGAAGGGGGGACGGAGAAGGCUAUGUUGGCCGGGCGACGGUUGUCCCGGUUUAAGCGUGUAGGCUGGUUUUCCAGGCAAAUCCGGAAAACCAAGGCUGAGGCGUGAUGACGAGGCACUACGGUGCUGAAGCGACAAAUGCCCUGCUUCCAGGAAAAGCCUCUAAGCAUCAGGUAACAUCAAAUCGUACCCCAAACCGACACAGGUGGUCAGGUAGAGAAUACCAAGGCGCUUGAGAGAACUCGGGUGAAGGAACUAGGCAAAAUGGUGCCGUAACUUCGGGAGAAGGCACGCUGAUAUGUAGGUGAAGCGACUUGCUCGUGGAGCUGAAAUCAGUCGAAGAUACCAGCUGGCUGCAACUGUUUAUUAAAAACACAGCACUGUGCAAACACGAAAGUGGACGUAUACGGUGUGACGCCUGCCCGGUGCCGGAAGGUUAAUUGAUGGGGUUAGCGGUAACGCGAAGCUCUUGAUCGAAGCCCCGGUAAACGGCGGCCGUAACUAUAACGGUCCUAAGGUAGCGAAAUUCCUUGUCGGGUAAGUUCCGACCUGCACGAAUGGCGUAAUGAUGGCCAGGCUGUCUCCACCCGAGACUCAGUGAAAUUGAACUCGCUGUGAAGAUGCAGUGUACCCGCGGCAAGACGGAAAGACCCCGUGAACCUUUACUAUAGCUUGACACUGAACAUUGAGCCUUGAUGUGUAGGAUAGGUGGGAGGCUUUGAAGUGUGGACGCCAGUCUGCAUGGAGCCGACCUUGAAAUACCACCCUUUAAUGUUUGAUGUUCUAACGUUGGCCCGUAAUCCGGGUUGCGGACAGUGUCUGGUGGGUAGUUUGACUGGGGCGGUCUCCUCCUAAAGAGUAACGGAGGAGCACGAAGGUUGGCUAAUCCUGGUCGGACAUCAGGAGGUUAGUGCAAUGGCAUAAGCCAGCUUGACUGCGAGCGUGACGGCGCGAGCAGGUGCGAAAGCAGGUCAUAGUGAUCCGGUGGUUCUGAAUGGAAGGGCCAUCGCUCAACGGAUAAAAGGUACUCCGGGGAUAACAGGCUGAUACCGCCCAAGAGUUCAUAUCGACGGCGGUGUUUGGCACCUCGAUGUCGGCUCAUCACAUCCUGGGGCUGAAGUAGGUCCCAAGGGUAUGGCUGUUCGCCAUUUAAAGUGGUACGCGAGCUGGGUUUAGAACGUCGUGAGACAGUUCGGUCCCUAUCUGCCGUGGGCGCUGGAGAACUGAGGGGGGCUGCUCCUAGUACGAGAGGACCGGAGUGGACGCAUCACUGGUGUUCGGGUUGUCAUGCCAAUGGCACUGCCCGGUAGCUAAAUGCGGAAGAGAUAAGUGCUGAAAGCAUCUAAGCACGAAACUUGCCCCGAGAUGAGUUCUCCCUGAGACUUAGAGUCUCCUGAAGGAACGUUGAAGACGACGACGUUGAUAGGCCGGGUGUGUAAGCGCAGCGAUGCGUUGAGCUAACCGGUACUAAUGAACCGUGAGGCUUAACCUU
rnacentral:rRNA from 3 species